AUGUCCAGGAAUGCACACACACUUCCCUAUGUUAGUUGUUCAUUAACGGUCCAUUAUUUUGAGAAAAUACAACCAGUCAGAUAUACAGCUGGGGUAUUUCAACUGGGAAAUUCAGGACCACUCUGCUGGGACACUCCACAGUCUGCUGAGACAUAUAGAAGAAGACCACUCUGCUGGGACACUCCACAGUCUGCUGAGACAUAUAGACCACUCUGUUGGGACACUCCACAGUCUGCUGAGACAUAUAGAAGAAGACCACUCUGUUGGGACACUCCACAGUCUGCUGAGACAUAUAGAAGAAGACCACUCUGCUGGGACACUCCACAGUCUGCUGAGACAUUUAGAAGAAGACCACUCUGCUGGGACACUCCACAGUCUGCUGAGACAUAUAGAACCACUCUGUUGGGACACUCCACAGUCUGCUGAGACAUAUAGAACCACUCUGUUGGGACACUCCACAGUCUGCUGAGACAUAUAGAAGAAGACCACUCUGUUGGGACACUCCACAGUCUGCUGGGACAUAUAGAAGAAGACCACUCUGUUAGGACACUCCACAGUCUGCUGAGACAUAUAGAACCACUCUGCUGGGACACUCCACAGUCUGCUGACACAUAUAGAAGAAGACCACUCUGUUAGGACACUCCACAGUCUGCUGAGACAUAGAAGAAGACCACUCUGCUGGGACACUCCACAGUCUGCUGAGACAUAUAGAAGAAGACCACUCUGUUGGGACACUCCACAGUCUGCUGAGACAUAUAGAAGAAGACCACUCUGCUGGGACACUCCACAGUCUGCUGAGACAUAUAGAAGAAGACCACUCUGUUGGGACACUCCACAGUCUGCUGAGACAUAUAGAAGAAGACCACUCUGUUGGGACACUCCACAGUCUGCUGAGACAUAUAGAAGAAGACCACUCUGUUAGGACACUCCACAGUCUGCUGAGACAUAUAGAAGAAGACCACUCUGUUAGGACACUCCACAGUCUGCUGAGACAUAUAGAAGACCACUCUGUUAGGACACUCCACAGUCUGCUGAGACAUAUAGAAGAAGACCACUCUGCUGGGACACUCCACAGUCUGCUGAGACAUAUAGAAGAAGACCACUCUGUUGGGACACUCCACAGUCUGCUGAGACAUAUAGAACCACUCUGUUGGGACACUCCACAGUCUGCUGAGACAUAUAGAAGAAGACCACUCUGUUGGGACACUCCACAGUCUGCUGGGACAUAUAGAAGAAGACCACUCUGUUAGGACACUCCA
rnacentral:lncRNA from 1 species